rnacentral:rRNA from 1 species
UUGAAAGGGAAACGAUUGAAGUCAGUCGUACCGACGAGAAAUCAGCUUAUCGUGUGUUAACUUGUGGGCGUGCGUGAGUUUCGGCCUCGCUGUUUGCAAGUUUGUGCGCUUUGGGUGUACUUUUUCGUAUGGUUGGCCAACAUCAGUUUCGAUUACUAUAAAAUGACUGGCGGAAUGUAGCUUCGAUUUCGGUUGAAGUGUUAUAGCCUCUGGUAGAUGUGGUGAUUGAGACUGAGGAUUGCAACGAAUAUCCUUUGGGCUAUCCGUCUGGCCUCUGAAAGUUGCUUGGGUGCUGAAAGCUUGCUUAUGGUUAUCUAAGUUAACGGUCAAUAGGUUAGAACGCGAUUACAUUCGUUAAGGAUGUUGACGUA